rnacentral:snRNA from 1 species
AUACUUACCUGGCAGGGGAGAUACCAUGAUCACGAAGGUGGUUUUCCCAGGGCGAGGCUUAUCCAUUGCACUCCGGAUGUGCUGACCCCCUGCGAUUUCCCCAAAUGUGGGAAACUCGACUGCAUAAUUUGUGGUAGUGGGGGACUGCGUUCGCGCUCUCCCCUG